CCUCCCACCCGUGUUGCCCGAACCUAUGUUGCCUCGGCGGGCCCCGCGCCCGCCGACGGCCCCCCUGAACGCUGUCUGAAGUUGCAGUCUGAGACCUAUAACGAAAUUAGUUAAAACUUUCAACAACGGAUCUCUUGGUUCCGGCAUCGAUGAAGAACGCAGCGAAAUGCGAUAACUAAUGUGAAUUGCAGAAUUCAGUGAAUCAUCGAGUCUUUGAACGCACAUUGCGCCCUCUGGUAUUCCGGAGGGCAUGCCUGUCCGAGCGUCAUUGCUGCCCUCAAGCCCGGCUUGUGUGUUGGGCCCCGUCCCCCCCGCCGGGGGGACGGGCCCGAAAGGCAGCGGCGGCACCGCGUCCGGUCCUCGAGCGUAUGGGGCUUCGUCACCCGCUCUAGUAGGCCCGGCCGGCGCCAGCCGACCCCCAACCUUUAAUUAUCUCAGGUUGACCUCGGAUCAGGUAGGGAUACCCGCUGAACUUAAGCAUAUCAAUAAGGCGGAGGAA
rnacentral:rRNA from 1 species